UUUUCUCUUUCACUCAUUCAUAUAAUUUUUCUCUUUUUUCUGCAUGUAAUUUUUAGAAAAAUAAUAGAAAAUCUAUUUUGAGCAAUCAUAGACUUUAACUAAUCACAUAAUAAAUAAGAUUUAUACCUCAAUCAUGAAAUGAAUUCUCAUCAAGCUUUCAUUUUAGUUAGAAAAUAUCAAUUUAAAACAAGAUUUAGAGAAGUUUAUUUAAAUA
rnacentral:lncRNA from 1 species